AUUGAACGCUGGCGGCAGGCCUAACACAUGCAAGUCGAACGGUAACAGGAUGAAGCUUGCUUCUUUGCUGACGCGUGGCGGACGGGUGAGAAAUGUCUGGGAAACUGCCUGUUGGAGGGGGAUAACUACUGGAAACGGUAGCUCAUACCGCAUAACGUAGCAAGACCAAAGAGGGGGGGCUUUGGGGCUCUUGCGCUCGGAAGUGCCCAGAUGGGGUUAGCUAGUAGGGGGGGUAACGGCUCACCUAGGCGACGAUCCCUAGCUGGUCUGAGAGGAUGACCAGCCACACUGGAACUGAGACACGGUCCAGACUCCUACGGGAGGCAGCAGUGGGGAAUAUUGCACAAUGGGCGCAAGCCUGAUGCAGCCAUGCCGCGUGUAUGAAGAAGGCCUUCGGGUUGUAAAGUACUUUCGUCGGGGAGGAAGGGAGUAAAGUUAAUACCUUGGCGCAUUGACGGUACCCAAAGAAGAAGCACCGGCUAACUCCGUG
rnacentral:rRNA from 1 species